GUCAUUCCCGAGUCGCCAGACUUUUAUACUCGGCAGCGCUAUUUAAGCAUGCCGUUCAUGCUGGAUUGUUGCCAGAUUUUCACUCGUCACUACGUCGCGAUCUGUGAGUCAUUCCUGCCAUCUUCCGGUCUGAGUAUUGUCUGUUGCCUUGCUGCUGCUUGUGUCAUAGUGGAUUUUGCCGGCUUGGAUUUCUUUUCUCCCUUGGAUUACUAACGACCAUCUAUAUGCCGGUGGCGUCGCAGUACGUGACCAGCUCCGGGGUACCGGCCACAACCUGAAGUGGGUAUGGAGAGUAUUGUGUACUGUCCCGAGACCCCUCCACAUUUAGUGGGUCUGUUUAUGUGGACUUUUCUGAUCCGGUGAAGUUGGAUGAGUUGCUGGUGGACACUCAUCUGUCUCUGGGUGGUCGCUUCAGGCCGAGUGAGUGUGUGUCUCAGCAGAAGGUGGCUCUCAUCAUCCUGUUCAGAGACAGAGAAAAGCACCUCAAUUACUGGCUCUUCUACAUGCACCCCAUCCUGCAGAGGCAGCAGCUUGACUACGGCAUCUACGUCAUCGAGCAGCAUGGUGAUGAAAUGUUUAACCGAGCGAAGCUGCUGAAUGUGGGCUACAUGGAGGCUCUUAAGGAGUACAACUACAACUGUUUUGUCUUCAGUGAUGUCGAUCUGAUCCCCAUGGACGACAGAAACCUCUACAAGUGCUACAACCAGCUACACCUCUCUGUGGCCAUGGACAAGUUCGGCUUCAGGUCAUAAAAUGACACAAAGAAAUGUUUUUAUGCUAAUUUAAAAUUUGCAUGCCCUCAUCCUAUCACUGUUCAGCAUCUGCUGCUGUGUUUUUACAAACUCUCAUUAUCUAGCAGCGUAUCCUGUGAUCAGAUAGCCAAAGAUUCCUGCAGGUUGUCAUAUGAUGAGUAUUUCGGCGGUGUUUCCUCACUGAGUAAAGAACAGUACCUGAAGAUAAACGGCUUCCCAAACAACUACUGGGGCUGGGGGGGUGAGGACGACGACAUCUACAACUGAUUGACAUUUAAGGAAAUGAACAUUUCCUGACCGAACCAUGAGAUUGGCAUGUGUAAGAUGAUCCGUCAUGGAAGAGACAAGCUGAACCAACCUAACCCUCACAGGUAACACACACAUAUACACACACACAAGGUUAUAUUUGUAUGGAUUUAGGCCUCUGUUCAUGCGCAGGUUCUCGCAAAUAACCAAAACGAUCCAGACAAUGGAGAAGGAUGGCAUCAACUCACUCAGCUACAGCGUGGUGAGCUGGGAGAAGAACAAACUGUACACCAAAACCGUGGUGGACAUCGGAAAGCCUCCUCACUUAUAAACCCCAAACACCUUCACACUAUUCUGGCAACAUAAACUGUGAGUUCUUCAUGGAGAGUUCUCAGGGACACGUCUAUGGAUUGCUGGAAAGGGAGGAGGGAUGGUUUGGGGGAGGGCAUGAUCACAGCUGCAUCUGACUCCCACUGAUCU